GAUGAACGCUAGCGACAGGCCUAACACAUGCAAGUCGAGGGGUAACAGGGAGCUUGCUCCGCUGACGACCGGCGGACGGGUGAGUAACGCGUAUGCAACCUUCCCACAGGAUCGGGAUAGCCCUCCGAAAGGAGGAUUAACACCGGAUGUGGUAAUUUAGAGGCAUCUUUAGAUUACUAAAUGCGAAGCUUGUGGAUGGGCAUGCGUGACAUUAGCUAGUUGCGGGGUAACGCCCACCAAGGCGACGAUGUCUAGGGGUUCUGAGAGGAAGGUCCCCCANACUGGUACUGAGACACGGACCAGACUCCUACGGGAGGCAGCAGU
rnacentral:rRNA from 1 species